GCUCUAAACCCUUCCAGAGCUGAGCUAUUGAGAUUUUAGUUGUGAAGAAGAGCAAUGUCUUCCAGCUACACGUGGAUUCGGCAAGUGAACAUGGAGUGGGUCCCAAACAGAGAGGAUGGAACGGGGGCAAAGUGUCCGUUUAUCUGGGCAGCAAACCGGCUAUGACACCUGAAUGCUUUUACAAUUCCUAUCAUAUACCAUAGCUGUACCAGGUCUCCCAUCCGCCGUCUUCCCUUUCCAUGGGUGCGUGAGGAAAGCCGUACUCAACCACAGGACUGUCAUGCUGUCAAAACCCUCAUCUGUGUCUGGAUCUGUGGGGACUCAGGGCUGCCCUGCCUUAUAGACCACACCUGCAUUAACCCCUAAAUACUCCACGUACACUGACACUAUCAAAUCAACAGGUGGUGGGUUUGCUUAGCCUUUAAUGUAAACAGAUAUUUAUGGUUACUUUUAUGACACCCAUGUAUGUA